UACGUAGGGGGCAAGCGUUGUCCGGAAUUAUUGGGCGUAAAGAGCGUGUAGGCGGUCCGGUAAGUCAGCUGUGAAAGUCAAGGGCUCAACCCUUGAAUGCCGGUUGAUACUGUCGGGCUAGAGUCCGGAAGAGGCGAGUGGAAUUCCCGGUGUAGCGGUGAAAUGCGCAGAUAUCAGGAGGAACACCGGUGGCGAAGGCGGGUCUCUGGGCCGAUACUGACGCUGAGGAGCGAAAGCGUGGGGAGCGAACAGG
rnacentral:rRNA from 1 species